GCCCUGGAGUCCCUAGAGGCCUCCCGGCUCCACCUGGGCCCCUGUGCUCACACGGUCCCUCUGAGCUUGCACUUCCCUUGGCACUCCCGCCGCGGAGUGCUCCCCGGGCAGACUCAGCUCCUCGGGGACUGGCUGCGCGUCUGCAGGCGGAGCCCAGCCCAGGACAGCAUGGGAUUGGCCCUGUGACCACAUCUUCCCCUGUGCCCACCAGGCCAUGGGGGGUCCCUGAUUGAGCCUUUCCGUCCCCUGCAGGACAGAGGUGGACCUCUGCAGGCUCUGCACAACCAGCUGUGUGUGAUGAGUGGCCACACCUUGCCUCCUCUUCCCGUCCUGGGCACCAACAGCACGGAGCAGGCCAGCGUCCCCAAAGCCAUGGCAGCCACGCUGGGAGCCAGCACGCCCCCCAGGCCCCAGGCCAGGAGCAUAGCUGGGGUGUAUGUGGAGGCCUCAGGCCAGGCCCAGAGUGUCUACACUGCCAUGGAGCAGGGCCUUCUGCCUCCUGGGCUUGGGCUGGCUCUGCUAGAGGCCCAGGCAGCCACCGGGGGUCUGGUGGAUCCCACCCAGGGCCAGCUGCUCUCUGUGUCCAAGGCCCUACAGCAGGGCCUGGUGGGGCUGGAGCUGAAGGAGAAGCUGCUGACCGCUGAGCGUGCCGCUACGGGCUACCCUGACCCCUAUGGGGGUGAGAAGCUGGCCCUCUUUCAGGCCAUCGGGAAGGAGGUUGUGGACCGGGCCCUGGGGCAGAGCUGGCUGGAGGCCCAGCUGGCCACUGGGGGCCUGGUGGAUCCUGCCCGGGGUGUGCUUGUGGCCCCUGAGCCAGCCUGCCACCAGGGCCUCCUGGACCGGGAGACAUGGCACAAGCUGUCAGAGCUUGAGCCUGGCACAGGUGUCCUGCGCUUCCUCGACCCCAACACGCUGGAGCGGCUGACGUACCACCAGCUGCUGGAAAGGUGUGUGCGGGCCGCCGGCUUGGGACUAGCCCUGCUGCCCCUCAAGAUCACCUUCCGCUCUGAGGGCGGGGCAGUGAGUGCAGCCGAGCUGCUGGAGGUGGGCAUCCUGGACGAGGAGGCUGUGCAGGGUCUGCAGGAGGGCAGGCUGGCCACAGCGGACGUGAGUGCACGUGCCGAGGUGCGGCGCUACCUGGAGGGUACCGGCAGCGUGGCUGGGGUUGUCCUGCUGCCCGAAGGCCAAAAGAAGAGCUUCUUCCAGGCUGCUACCGAGCACUGGCUCCCAAUGGGCACCGCACUGCCACUCCUAGAGGCCCAGGCUGCCACCCACACCCUAGUGGACCCCACCACAGGCCAGCGGCUGUGGGUAGACGAGGCAGUCAGGGUGGGCCUGGUCAGCCCAGAGCUCCACGAGCAGCUCCUGGUGGCCGAGCAGGCCGUGACGGGGUACCACGACCCCUUCAGUGGCUCCCAAAUCCCCCUCUUCCAGGCCAUGAAGAAGGGGCUAGUGGACAGGCCACUGGCACUGCGGCUCCUGGAUGCCCAGUUGGCCACAGGCGGGCUGGUCUGUCCAGCACGCAGGCUCCGGCUGCCCCUGGAGGCCGCCCUGCGCUGUGGCUGCCUGGAUGAAGACACUCAGCGACAGCUCUCGCAGGCUGGCGGCUUCUCAGACCCUGGCACGCACGAUGGCCUGCACUAUGAACAGCUGCUGGCCCGCUGCGUCACUGACCCAGAGACUGGGCUCGCCUUCCUGCCACUCUCAGGGGGACCCCAGGGAGGGGAGCCCCAGGGACCCCCAUUCAUCAAGUACAGUGCUCGGCAGGCCCUGAACGCAGCCAUAACCACCGUCUCCGUGGGGAAGUUCCGUGGCCGGCCCGUGUCCCUCUGGGAGCUGCUCUUCUCUGAAGCCAUCCCUGCAGAGCAGAGGGCAAUGCUGGCCCAGCAGCACCAGGAAGGGACCCUCUCCGUGGAGAAGAUGGCCGCUGAGCUGAGCGCCACCCUCGAGCAGGCUGCAGCCACUGCCAGGGUCACCUUUUCUGGGCUGAGGGACACCGUGACACCAGGAGAGCUGCUGAAAGCCGAGAUCAUCGACCAGGACCUGUACGAGCGGCUGGAACAUGGACAGGCCACAGCCCAGGAUGUGGGCAGCCUGGCCUCGGUGCAGAGGUACCUGCAGGGUACAGGCUGCAUUGCCGGCCUGCUGCUCCCUGGCUCCCAGGAACGCCUGAGCAUCUAUGAGGCCCGAUGCAAGGGGCUCCUCCGGCCCGGCACUGCCCUCAUCCUUCUGGAGGCACAAGCUGCCACGGGCUUCAUCAUUGACCCCAAAGCAAACAAGGGGCACUCCGUUGAGGAGGCACUGAGGGCUGGUGUCAUUGGGCCCGAUGUGUUCGCGAAGCUGCUGUCGGCCGAGCGCGCCGUCACCGGCUACACCGACCCCUUUCUGACUGCACUCAACCGGCGAAGCGCGCCGUCACAGCCUGCAGCCUACACCGGGCAGCGGAUCUUCAGCGGGGCGUGCAGUCCCGCUGGUGGAUGGUGCCACCAGCAGGCCUUCCAGAACCUGCUGCUCUCCAGUGAAGUCACGGCGGUUUGGGAGGCAGAGGUGCGUGGGAACUAGUCAACUCUGAGUACUUCAAGAAGCAGAGGGCAUAGAGAGUGCUGUGGGCAUGCCGGCGGCGUGAGGUCACACUGGGAGCAGGUAGCACAGCUGCUGGAGGCGGAGACGCAGAGACAGGCGGACGUCAUGCUGCCAGCUGCUGCGUGAGCAGAUCACCAUCCACCAGCUCCUGGAGGCCCAUAUCAUUGACAAGCACCUGUUGGACCAAGUGCUGGCCAGGACAGUCAGCCCGGGCCUCCUACUCAUGGAUGGUGUCAUGAGUACCUGUGCAGCCUGGGAGCUGUGGGUAGCGUGGCUGCCCUCGGCCAGCGGCUUAGCCUCAUAUCAGGCGCCGCAGGCAGAAGCUGCUGGGGCCCAGUGUGGCCCUGGCCCUGCUGGAAGAGCUCAGGCAGCCACCGGGCCAUCGUGGACCCUCACAGCCUAGAGGAAACCUCUCGGCGGUGAGACGGGCGGCUCACGAAGUGGUGGAAGCCCAGGCUAUGUAGCAGGCUGGAAGCCCAGGCUGAAAGUGCCAUCACAACUUCAGGAACCCCUUCUCUGGGAAGCAGGUGUCUCUGUUUCGAGCCAUGAAGAAAGUCUCAUCUCUUAGGAGCAAGCUGCCCGCAUCCUGGGAGAGCUCAGGUAAGCCACGGAGGGUCGUGACGGCCCCACUGGCCACCACCACCCUCCCAUGCCAGUAGCCAUUCAGCGUAGCUGUAUUGACAGGAGAUGGAGACAGCCUUGUCCAACUCCUCCGAGACCUUCCCCACACCAGACGACGGCGCACCAGCUAUGCCCGGCUCUGGGCCCAGUCUUACCCCAGGGGAUGAGGCUUCUGUGUCACCUCCUGCCCCUGCCAGAAAGUGCUCCUGCCCUCCCCACCGAGAGACAAGUCAGGAAAGAACUACAGGCCAUGCCGAAGGCUGGGGAUGGCACAUCCCCCUCCUGGGACCUGCUCAGCUCCACCACCCGCUUCACUGAGCAGGCGGGAGCCUGCUGGAGGGCGUGCAGGAGGGAGGACCACUGCCUGCAGCUGCCCCCAGCCUCUGUGCAGGAGAUGGCUACAGGAGACUAAACUCCUGGCCCAAGCCCACGUCGUGGUGCCCGGCCAGCGGGGGUGAGAUCCGCCGUCUGGCUGCUGGAUGCUGGCAUCAUCACCCCAGGAGACCCUUGAGGCCCUGGCUCAGGGCACGCAGUCGCCUGCCCAGGUCGCUGCUGGGCAGCCGGCGGUGAAGGCCUGCCUGUGGGGCACAGGCUGCGUGGCUGGUGUGCUGCUGCAGCCCUCUGGGACGGUCAAUGUGCAGGCCGUGAGACGGCCUCACUGCCCACAGGCCUGGGCAGAGGCUGCUGGAAGCCCGGGUAUCCCAGGCCGCGUGUCGUCCUGAACAACCGGAGACUGUCGGUGGAGGGCCCAGCUGGUGCCAGAUGCGGCCUGGUGGGCAGGGAGCUGGUGAGCAGCUUGGGCCGGCAGGCCGAGAGGGCGUGGCCGGGUACCCAGAUCCCUGCAGGGGGCUCCCUCUCUCUGUGGCAGGUGAGCCAUGGAGAGGACUGUGCACAGAGCGAGGGCUUGCCCUCCUGCAGUGCAAGCUAUUCCUUCUGGGGAGUGUGGUGGACCCUGUCACGAGGGAAUUGCACCUGCCCCAGGCAACAGCCUGCAGACUCGGCCUUCUGGACACAGAGAUGACCAGGUGUAACAGCAGUUGUGGAACACAAAUUCUUCUUUGACCCCAGUCUCUUUGGCAGGACCAGGUGACCUACCAGCAGCUCAGGGGCGCUGCGUGUGCGACUCCGAGACUGGCUUGUUGCCUGCUGCCACUGCCCUCAGACACAGCACGCGAGGUGGAUGACCACACUGCAGUGGCUCUUAGGAGCCAUGAAGGUGCCCGUCAGCACAGGAGGUUUAAGGGUGUAGUGUGGCUCUCUGGGACCUGCUGCUCUCCGGAAAUGCGUCUGUGUGCUGACAGCGGCGGGAGCUGGUGGCACUCUGUCGUCUGGGAGGGCUGCAGCUCGGCAGGUGGUCAGCGUGGUCACUGCCCUGGUCGAGGAUGCAGAGAGGCAGCCCCAGCAGGCCACCUUCAGAGGAGCUCCGGGGAAGCAGGUGUCAGCCGGGGACAUAUUCAGGGCAUUAAGUCAGCAGGAAGACGCUGGGCCAGAGCUGAGCCAAGAGGCAGUAGCGGUGAAGGAGGUGGCGGAGAUGGACAGCGUGAGGCAGUUCCUGGAGGGAGGCAAUUUCAUUGCCCGGGAGUCCUUGUCCAGGGCACCCAGGAGAGGAUGAGCAUCCCCAGAAGCCCUGCGGAGCAUCCUGCGGCCUGCUAACACAGCCCUGAGUACUGCUGGAGAGCACAGGCAGCUACUGGCUUCAUCGCCGACCCCGUGAAACCCGGGAAGCGACGUGGAGGACAUCGAAAAGCAGGAUGUUUGGCAAAGAAACCUCAUUGAAGCUGCUGCAGCCAUUUAGUAGCGCCCGUCUGACUACACCGGCCCCUACACCGGGCAGCAGAUCUCCCUCUUCCCAGGCCAUGCAGAGAGGGCCUCGCCGUCCGGGGAGCAUGGCAUCCGCCUGCUGGAAGCCCAGACCUCCCAGGCGGCAUCAUUGACCCGUGCACAGCCACCGUGUGCCUGUGGGCGUGGCCUACCAGUGUGGCUACUUUGAUGAGGCUGAACCGCAUCCUGUAGACCAAGCAGCGACACCAAGGGCUUCUUUGGCCCCAACACACACGAGAACCUCACGUACCUGCAGCUUCUGGAGCGCUGCAUGGAGGAUCCUGGUUAGCCUGUAUCUGCUACAAAUCAUAAGAAAGGAAAAACCUACAUUGCAUAUCAGUGAGGCCAUGAGACACGAGUUGCAAUCUAGAACUGUAAAAAUGCGCGUGGGGAGGUUUGCUGACCAGGUGGUCUCUUUCUGGGACCUGCUGUCUCUCCCAUACUUCACAGAGACAGGAAGGCGAGGCUCAUCCAGAUAUGGAACCCAGAGUGGGGGCCUGGAGAAAUUACUGGAAAUCAUCACCAAGACAAUUGAAGAAACGAACCGCAAAACCAAGGCAUCAAGGUGGCGGCCAUCAGAGGAGAGUGACAGCUGCAGAGCUGUUCAACUCCGGGUCACUCGAUCAGAAGACCCUGCAUACACUUCGUGUGGGGAGGACUGGGGGACAACGCCGCACGCUGGAGUGUGUAAAGCCUUACCUGGAAGGCAGUGGCUACAUUGCAGGGGUGAUGGUGCCCUCCACCGGAAGUCUGCAGGCCUUCAUGAGGCCAACUGAAGGAGCUCAUCCCUGUAGUUGCAACUUGACUGCUGGAGGCACAGGCAUUGGAGUUCCUCCUGGACCCCACACCCACAGGCUCUCCGUGGGCGAGGCUGUGGAUGUGAGCCUGGUAGGUGAGCUGGGAGAGGCUCUGAAGGCCGAAGAGGCUGCCACGGGCUACGAGAUCCAGCCACGGGAGACACAAUCCCACUGUUCCAGGCCAUGCAGAAGCAGCUCAUUGAUGGGCACUGAGGUUGCUGGGUGCAGGUAGCCGCAGGGGGUGUCAUCGACCCACUGCACCACCACGGCUCCACUGAAACCGCCUACAGAGCGUGGCUGUCUGAAAGAGGACAUCUAUGCGCUCAUUUCUAACCAGAAGCACAUGAGGAAACGGUUUGUGGACCCGAACACGCAGGAGAAGGUCUCACUGUCGAGAGCUGCAGGAGAGGUGCCACCUGCAGAGACACUGGCUGGGUGCUCUUCCCAGUGAACAAGGAUGCACGGGACUCGAAUGCAUAGGCGGCCGAGGCGAAGAGGCCCUGGAGGCAGAGCAAGUGGGAAAUAACAGUGGGAAGGUUCAAGGAGUAGAAAUGACACUGUGGGAACUGCUGGAAUUCAGAAUCGUGACAGGAGAAGAAGCUCAGCUGGUGAAGAUGUACAGAAUGGACACACGAGGCCAGGCACUGCGAGGAAGAGUAGCACACCAGAUCUCAGACGAUGAUUGAGAAGCAGGAAAACAGCAGCAAACAGCUGUAGUUUCCAAGGAAUUAGAAGACCAAGAUCGCUCUGAACUCCUCCAGCUCAGCCAUAAUCACGGAAAUGCUCCGGGACCUGCAGAAACAGGUGAGCACGACACAGCAGCUCAGGGAGGGCGGCCGCAUCAAGCUACCUGGAGGCACCAGCUGCAGCCCGGGGGCGUCUGGUGCCCGCCAAGGGCCGAGCCCGGCCGCCAGGAAGAUGAACAUCUACCAGGCCAUGUGGGGGCGUGCUGCGGCCCGGCCACGGCCUGGUGCUGCUGGAGCGCAGGCGGCCACCGGCCGUCAUCGGCCCGUGCGCAACCUGAGGCUGUCCGUAGAAGGAGGCUGGUGGCGCGGGCGUGGUAGGCGAGAUCAGGAAGCUGCUGCUCGGCCGUGGCGCCGUCACCGGCUACACCGGCCCCUACCGGGCAGCAGAUCUCCUCUUCCAGGCCAUGCAGAGACCUCAUCGUCGGGGAGCACGGCAUCCGCCUGCUGGAGAGCCCAGAUCGCACGGGCGCGUCAUCGGCCGUGCACACAGCCACCGCGUGCCCGUGGACGUGGCCACCGGCGAUUUCGCCCGGCCGAGGAGAUGAACCGCAUCCUGGCGGACCCAAGCGGCAGCGACACCAAGGGCUUCUUCGAAGCCCCAACACGCACGAGAACCUCGCGUCGUGCAGCUGCUGCGCCGCUGCGUGCGCGACCGGACACGGGCUCUACAUGCACUGCAGCUGUGAGGCGGGGGCUCACGCCGUGCCAGCUGAGCGGAGCUGCGCUGUGCCCUGCGGGACGCCGUGUGACGCCAGGCUCGGGCGCCCUCCCGGGGCUGGGCGUCUCCGUCUGGGAGCUCCUCUUCUGCCGCGAGGUGUCGAGGACCAGCGCCAGGACCUGCUGAGCAGAUACCGGGCGGGCACGCUACGAGGCGUGGAGGAGCUGGGCGCCACCACCUCACCUCGCUGCUGGCCCAGGCCCAGGCCCGAGGCCGAGCCAGCCCAGACCCCGGGAGGCCCUGCGUGCAGCCACCAUGGAAGUCAAGGUGGAGCCGCCUCCGGGCGCGCGGUGCCGUGUAAUAGGCGUGCUGGCGUCCGGCUGCGUGGCCGAGGCCGCCGGGAGAGCUGCUGGCCAGUUUAGCUCAGGGACUCUGGCCUUGCCCGCCACCAGCCCGCGGCGGCCGCCAUCAUCGAGAGGCGAGAGCCCCGAGGACAGCCGCAGCUCAGGGCGCCUCGCACGGCCGCGGGAGCCAGGGCCAGCCAGGCAAGGGACGGCGGAGUCGGCGCUCCCGGGCCAGGGAAAGCGAGGCCAGAGCGAGACCCGAGGAGGCGCUGCCGCGCCCCGCCAAGAGCAGACCACCUGCGUGAGUGCCACCAUGGAGGUGCAGCGCAGGCAGUUCAGGCGGCCGGUCUCUGUGUGGGAUCUCCUCUUCUCCUCGUACACAAGGCGAGGCCCGCCGAGAGCGAGCUCCUGGCCCAGCACGCGGCCGGCGUCCUGGAGCCUGCCGACCUCAUCGCCGUCCUCACCCGGGUCAUCGAGAGACCGGGCGGCUCAGCAAGGUGUCUUUCAGAGGCCUGAGGCGCCAGGUGUCCGCCUCCGAGCCUGCACCACGUCUGGAUCCUGGGCCCGAGACCCUGCGGGGACCUGGCCCAGGGCACUAAGUGGCUCAGGAGGAGGCCGUGGCGCGGGCGUGGUGGGCGCGAGAUCCAGGAGAAGCUGCUGUCGGCAGCGCGCCCGUCACGGCUACACGAGCCCUACACCGGGCAGCAGAUCUCCCUCUUCCAGGCCAUGCAGAAGGACCUCAUCGUCGGGAGCGGCACAUCCGCCUGCUGGAGAGCCCAGAUCGCCACGGGCGCGUCCGCCGACCCGUGCACAGCCACGGCGUGCCCGUGGGCGUGGCCUACCGGCGCGGCUAAACGGCGAGGAGAUGAACAUCUGGAUGACCCCAGCGGCAACCUGAGGCUUCUUCGACCCCAACACGAUACGAGAACCUCACGUCACGUGCAGCUGCUCUGCGCGCGUGCUGGCGGCCCGGACACGGGCUCUACAUGCUGCAGCUGGCAGGCGGGAGCUCCGCCGUGCCAGCUGGCGGGCUGCGCGUGCCCUGCAGGCGCCGCCCAGGCCGAGGCCGAGGCCGAGCCGCGCCCAGACCCAGGGGAGGAAGCCCUGCGUGCGGCCACCAUGGAGGUGGUGGAAGGCCGCCUCCGAGGAAGCCAGCCCAGCAGUGCCAUUAAUGGGGGCGUGCUGGCGUCGGCUGCGAGCACUAGGGAAGUGGUCGCGCUGCAGGAGGUGACGGAGAUGGACUCGGUCAAAGCGCUACCUGGAGGCACCAGCUGCAUCGCGGGCGUCCUGGUGCCCGCCAGAGGCGAGCCAGCCGCCAGAGAAGAUAGGCUGCCAGGCCAUGUGGAAGGGCGUGCUGCGGCCAGCCUGCAGCCUGAGUACUGGAGGCGCGAAGCGUACGGCGCCGUCGCCGACCCCGUCAUAACCUGAGGCUGUCCGUGGAGGAGGCCGUGUUGUGGUGUAGUCGUGGCGAGAUCCAGGAAAGCUGCUGUAUCGGCGGCAGCGUCACGGCUAUGACUUCACGGGCAGCAGAUCUCCCUCUUCCAGGCCAUACGAAAAGGACCUCGCCGUCCGGGAGCCACGGCUAUCCGCCUGCUGGAAGCCCAGAUCGCCACGGGCGGAGUCGCCGACCCGUGCGCAGCCACCACGCGUGCCCUGCCUGCGCCUUGCGCUGCGUGCGCGGCCCGGCCCGGAGCUCUACAUGCAGCUGGCAGGCCGAGCUCCGCCGUGUGCCCAGCUGGCGAGAGCUGCGCUGUGCCUGCGGGGCGCCGUGUGACGCCAGGCUCGGGCGCCCUCAGGAGCCAGGCGUCUCCGUCUGGGAGCUCCUCUUCUACCGCGAGGUGUCCGAGGACCAGCGCCAGGACCUGCUGAGCAGAUACCGGGCAGGCACGCUGAGCGUGGAGGAGCUGGAGUGCCACCCUCACCUCGCUGCGGCCCAGGCCCAGGCCGAGGCCGAGGCGGGAGCCAGCGGAGCCCGGGGAGGCCCUGCGUCACGGCCACCGCGCCAGAGUCAAGGUGGGGCGCCUCCGAGGCUGCGGAUGCCCGUGCAUCGGACGAUGCUGGCGUCGGCCUACAUGUUGAGGGCGCGCCCAGGAGGAGCUGCUGGCCGAGUUUUAGCUCAGGGACUCUGGCCUUGCCCGCACCCAGCCCGCCCGGCUGACGCCAUCAUCGAGGAGGCGAGGAGGCCCGGAACCGGCCGCAGCUCCAGGACGCCUGACCUUGUCCCGCUUGUGGAGAGCCAGGAGCCAGCCAGGCAAGGGACAGCGAGUCAGGGCGCUCCCGAGGCUCAGAGGCGAGGCCAGGGCGAGACCGAGAGGAGCCGCUGCCGCCAUCCCGCCAAGAGCAGACCCUGCGUGGUGCCAUGGAGGUGCAGGCGCGGAGCAGUUUCAGAGGCGGCGGUCUCCGUGUGGGAUGUCCUCUUCUCCUCGUACACAGGCGAGGCCCGCCGAGAGCCGAGCUCCUGGCCCAGCACGCGGCCGGCAUCCUGGGCCUGCCCGACCUCGUCGCCGUCCUCACCCGGGUCUAGGAGACCGAGGCGGCUCAGCAAGGUGUCCUUCCCGAGGCCUGGGGCGCCAGGUGUCCGCCUCGAGCUGCACACGUCACAGGAUCCUGGGCCCCGAGACCCUGCGGGAUUGGCCCAGGGCACUAAAUCGCUGCAGGAGAGUGACGGAGAUGGACUCAGUCAAGCGCUACCUGGAGGCACCAGCUGCAUCGCGCGGCGUCCUGGUGCCCGCCAAGGACGAAGCCAGCCGCCAGGAGAAGAUGGGCAUCUACCAGGCCAUGUGGAAGGGCGUGCUGCGGCCGGCACGGCCUGGGCUGCUGGAGGCCUUGAAGCGUCACCGGCCGUCAUCGACCCGUGCGCCAACCUGAGGCUGGUCCGUGGAGGAGGCCGUGGCCGCGGCGUGGUGGGCGCGAGAUCCAGGAGAAGCUGCUGUGCGGCCGGCGCGCCGUCACCGGCUACACCGACCCCUGCACCGGGCCUUGGUCCCUCUUCCAGGCCAUGCAGAAGGACCUCUAUGCCCGGGAGCACGGCAUCCGCCUGCUGGAGGCCCAGAUCGCCACGGGCGGCAUCAUCGACCCCGUGCACAGCCACCGCGUGCCCGUGGACGUGGCCUACCAGCGUGGCUACUUCGACGAGGAGAUGAACCGCGUCCUGGCAGACCCCAGCGACGACACCAAGGGCUUCUUCGACCCCAACACGCACGAGAACCUCACGUACAUGCAGCUGCUGCAGAGGGCCACUCUUGAUCCUGAGACAGGGCUCCUGUUUCUUUCUCUCUCUCUGCAGUGACUGGGCUUCCUCUGCAAUUUUCUGCAACUCUGGAAAAGCUGUGGCAUAAUUUUGUGUCUUUUUUUUUUUCUCAUUCUUUGAUUUUGUUGUUUUACCCAUUCGUUAUCUGUGGAAAAUGUUUUAAGUUAUCAUGUGAUGGUAACUUUUUCUUUGUCCAUCAAGGUGUUUCUGGACAUCAUAAUUUUUUUGGUGUGUUUUCUGAGUCCUCUAAGUGUCAUGUGGUUUUCCUUUUCACUCCUUUUUGAUUUUCAGAACAUUUUUCUGUGCAUUUUGGAUUCCCUGCCGGCAUUUUACAGAAGGUCACUCUUUAGACUCAUUCCAUCAUGCCAUCGGGUGCUCUUUUGUUGCAAUGUAAUUCUUAUUACAUGCAGGUAUUUCCCUUAUGAUGUGUUCUUCAUGUUCAUUGUCAAACUCAUUUUCCAUCAGACAAUGUCUACCAUUUAGUGCUCUGGCUCAAUUUCAGUCCUCCUCCCUGGCCUGUCCACCUGCUGCUGUGCCGGCCCAAAGCUUGGACGUUAUUCUGCUGGCGGCUCCACCUUAGAGGUCUGACCUCACCAGCACUGACUGAACGAGUCUGUUGUGGAGAAAGACCUUUGGUAGUAAUUUAUUAGGAAAAAUUCUGAACACAUAAGACACGAAUCAAACUCGUGUUUGAUUUCAGGUUUUUGAAGGUUCAGUCACCAAUUUUCAUACCCUUAAUAUAGAGAUAGUAGAUUAAACAAGGGAAGUAAGCCGUCCAAAAUCCAGGGUUCCUGGAGCCAUAUCUCAGAAUCGUAUGCCCAUAGGUUGCAGUUAAGUCUUGCUCAAAGAUUCCUGGGAGAACCAAGAAGUUUCGUUGUUCGUAGAAGUGCGGCCAUUCUAGCAGGUGACAAAGAACAAGGGCUUGCUAGUCCCCCCUCAUUCACUCCACACAUGGGUUGCCUGUGGUGUCUGGGCCGCUUGCUCUCCAAUGGUAGCAAAACACAGCAAGAAUCCAUGGGUUCUGCCUGGUGGCUGUGUGUGGCUGGCCUCCUGGGGGCCUGCGGGCUGGGCGUGGAGGACACUCCCUGUGCUGGACUGGCUGGAGCGAGGGCAGAUAGAGCAGACAGGGCUUGGACAUUUGGGAUGAAGAGCCAGUGGCCUCAGGGUAGAAAUGACACGUGGGUAACUCAUCAAAAUGUGCCUCCCAAGCUCUAGAGAAAAUCCCUGCCAGGGUCUGUGUGGCCUUUGCAGGAGCAUCUGGCCCAUCUGGAGGUGGGCUUGAGGGGACAGGUGGCCACAAGGAAAUAGAAACGGUAGCCAGGCACGGUGGCUCACGCCUGUAAUCCCAGCUCUCAGGGAGGCAGAGGCGGGAGGAUAGCUUGAGCCCAGGAGUUCGAGACCUGCCUGGGUAAUAUAGCGAGACCCCGUUUUCCACACACACACACACAAAAGACAGAAACGGUAGUGAGGUUCACAUGUGCUACCAUUCACAGAUGGCAAAGUAGUCACUCUAUGAUCCACUUAAUCGCUCUCAUCCAGGUUUUACAGCUGUCUGAGUAAGACCCCGUACAACUGACGAUGCAGGCUAGGAUGGGCGAUGCAGUCAGGGCACUAACCUUGAAAAGGGGGACAGGGAGAACCUUGAAAAACAAGGCAUCGGCAGGGUGCUUUCAACCACAUUCUUUCUAUUGUUCUUGAGCAAGUCCUGUGUGUGUGCCGGAUGCCUGUGUUGUAGAAGUUCUCACUGUGAACUUUACAGCAAUGCUGAAGCAGGAAUUAGCAUGCCUGAUUAGUGGUGAUGGGACCCAUGUUUUUCUGUCCUUUUACUUUCACCUUCUCUGUCAUUAUAUUUGAAGUGAGCCUCUUUAGGCAGCAUAUUAAUGGGUGAGGUUAUCUUUAUCCAAUUUCACAAUCUCUAUGUUUAAAUUGGCAUAUUUACACCAUUACAUUUUAUGUAAUUAUGUGUUUGGACUCAUUCUUUGUUUUCUUUCCCUCCUCUGUUUUUUGUUCAUUUCCCCUCCCUUAGGUGCCUUCUUUUGGAUAUUGGAAUACUUUUUAGUAUUCCAUUUAAAUUUAUUGGCUUUGGCCGGGCGCGGUGGCUCAAGCCUGUAAUCCCAGCACUUUGGGAGGCCGAGAUGGGUGGAUCACGAGGUCAGGAGAUCGAGACCAUCCU